rnacentral:lncRNA from 1 species
GGAAUAAAUUUAACCUAAUAUAACUAGCAUCGUUGAACCAAUCAAAUUUAAGCACAUGUAAGUGUGCCUUAAUUAGCAUUCGAUUGGCUAUAGUCGCAUUCGGUCCAUUCAAGUGUCAACCAGUUUUGUUACGUGUUUUUCAAAAUAUUAUAAAUCUAUAAAUAAUAUAUCUCACGAGAUAAAAUAAAUAUAAUAAAAUUAAAAAUACGAUAACGUGAUAUCAUUUACUGAAUAUAUUUUAAAGUGAAUCUAAUAAUCUCUAACUUAACCUACAAGUACAUGAAGUAUACAAAUAUCAUCACGAAUAAACUUUCUACGCGAUCCAUAUAGUAAUUUCCAUGACUCGAAGGAACAACAAGCGAAGACAUUUACUAUCAUGAUGCUGUAACUCUCUUACGAGAACGGAAUGGCAACUUUCUUGCCACGCCUAAUGUCAAGAGCGCCAUUUUGUGUCCUACACUCUUCGUUCCAUCCAUUCUCUGUACCUGAUAUGUUCAUUUGCAAGAGGACAAGUUAAACAGUAACUCGUGCAAGAUUAAUCUAUUUUAAAUUUUUUUUAUCAAAGAAUAACCUUAACACCAGGAAAUUAAAUCUGAAUUAACAAAGAAAUUGCCUAUUAAAAAAUUCUUUAAACAAGAUAUUACAUCAUAGAAGAGAUAUAGAGGAGAUAAAGCACGAGAAAUAUAUAAUUAAAACGUACCAGAAUUAGUGUGACCGUGUCCAGCCCCAGUGCUAUUCGUCGCCGAGUGAACAGCGUUGCUUGCAGCAUUCGCAACAUGUUUCAAUGCGCUUAUCACCAUCAUAUCUUCAACUACACUUAAAUCACGACUAUUCCAUCCAGGUCUUCCAGAUUUAACAAGAUACAUGGUCUCAUAUACAAAGAGAAUUAUUAUUACUAUUUGAUUAUUGCGUUGAAAGGACCGAAUUUUUAACAGAUUUGAUUAAAUAUAUUCUCCAUUAGAAAAGAAGAUUAAAAUUAUUAUACAUUAACAAAUGAAAUAUUUCAUUAAUUGUUGAUGCAUUAAUGAUACUCACUAAAUUCUGAUUAAUUUUAUUCACAAGAAUCGGUCAUUUACAUAUGCAAUAAUCUAAAAAGAAUAGAAGCUACGAGACAAUUUCAAGCACAAUUUCUCGAUUGUUUGCGCGUUUAAUCGAACCAAAACUUGGAAAGGUCGAGGAACGCGUGGAAAAAUGUGGAAAAACGAAUGUUCAAGGAACACAGCCAGUCAUGACUGUCGUCUAGACACGACUAAAAGUCGUUCCAGCGCGUAGAGAAUGCGAAAGCCAAUCGCCGCUGGCACACAGACAACCGAGAGAGGUUGGUGGUUGCCACGUCCCCUCCUCUCCUUCGGCCUUCUUCGGCUGAGUUUCACCUUUGCGGAAGCUUCGAACGGGCGAAGUGUAGGUGUUGGACAACAGCGACCGGGAUCCACUCUAUUUCGCCACCAAGAGGCGGAUGACCUGGCUAAGCGUUACACGCCAUGGACUUUGCAAUAAUCGAAUUGUUAGGCUCGAUAGUUUUGCGUUUUCGACCUAGUUCAGAAACGAUACCUUCUACUACUGUCCUCAAGCAUCAAGAGUGUCUAUAAUCUUGUGAUGAAUGGACCGUGAAAUUGAUCGAGAAGAAAGGUUGUUUGAUCCCGUUUGAAAUGAUGACUUAAUUGUUUUGGUGUUAAUAUUGAAUGAAUGGUAUUUAAAAUUUGAACACCUGCAAAAUUUGGAUCUACAUCCAUGGCUGAAGAAAAUUCUAUUAUGAAACGAACGAUAUUUUAAUUUUUAAAUAAUUUCUUUUUUCUUUCACUCAUCAUCUUUUUCUACGUUGGAUAAAAUAACAAAGCUUUGGCAGAGUCAAAUUGAGAUUAAUAAUUGAUUUAUAUAUUAAAUUUCGUCGAAUAUCAUAAGCGAUUUUUUAAAGUUAAAGAUUAAUCAAAGUUACACAAAAUUUUUAUUUGAAUGAAUUUUUUGACAUGAGAGGCUUAAUUGGGUUAAUUGGUUUCCACGUGAUUACGCGAAUGAAGCGUCUGA